UACGUAGGGGGCAAGCGUUGUCCGGAUUUACUGGGCGUAAAGGGCGCGUAGGCGGUCACGACAAGUCAGUUGUGAAAUCUCCGGGCUUAACUCGGAACGGUCAACUGAUACUGUCGGACUAGAGUGCAGAAGGGGCAACUGGAAUUCUCGGUGUAGCGGUGAAAUGCGUAGAUAUCGAGAGGAACACCUGCGGCGAAGGCGGGUUGCUGGGCUGACACUGACGCUGAGGCGCGAAAGCUAGGGGAGCGAACGGG
rnacentral:rRNA from 1 species